rnacentral:rRNA from 1 species
GACGUAGGGCGCGAGCGUUUGUCCGGAUUUAUUGGGCGUAAAGAGCUCGUAGGCGGUUUGUUGCGUCGGCUGUGAAAUCCCGAGGCUCAACCUCGGGUCUGCAGUCGAUACGAGCAAACUAGAGUGUUGCAGGGGAGACUGGAAUUCCUGGUGUAGCGGUGAAAUGCGCAGAUAUCAGGAGGAACACCGGUGGCGAAGGCGGGUCUCUGGGCAACAACUGACGCUGGAGGAGCGAAAGCGUGGGGAGCGAACAGG